rnacentral:lncRNA from 1 species
UUCUGUGAAUCAUUAAUUUUUCCAGAGGUGAGCCUGGUGGUAAGUAUGGUAUAUUUAGCUUGCAAAGGUUUGUGCCUCUUCUCCCUCCUCUUCCUCUUUUUUCCUCCUCUUUCUCUUCCUCCACUCCUUCCUCUCCCUCUUCCUCCACUCCUUCCUCUGUGUAAAAGGGGUGCGUUAAUUGAUUUGUUUCACCAUUUUUUUUCUUCUUAUUUUCACCAUUUCAGAAUUCCUUUUUGAAGGAAAUUUCAAGGUUUGCAAAAGAUGGAGUCGAGCAUGGAGCGAAAGAGAAGUAUUCUUGAAGAAGAAAAAGAAGAGGUUUGCUCCUUAAACAAGUGACACCUUUUUUUACUGUUUUGUAAUUUGUAAAUUUGAUUCUCUUUUUGAACGUGAAUCUUAAACUGAUGAAAUAGUAUUCAAGGGUUUAAUUUCUUUGUGGGAUAAGUGUUAACAGUUCUAUAAAAUAUUAUUUUGCAUUUGAUUAUGGG